CCUACGGGUGGCAGCAGUGAGGAAUAUUGGUCAAUGGACGAGAGUCUGAACCAGCCAAGUAGCGUGAAGGAUGACUGCCCUAUGGGUUGUAAACUUCUUUUAUAUGGGAAUAAAACGUUCCACGUGUGGGAUUUUGUAUGUACCAUAUGAAUAAGGAUCGGCUAACUCCGUGCCAGCAGCCGCGGUAAUACGGAGGCUCCGAGCGUUAUCCGGAUUUAUUGGGUUUAAAGGGAGCGUAGGUGGAUUGUUAAGUCAGUUGUGAAAGUUUGCGGCUCAACCGUAAAAUUGCAGUUGAAACUGGCAGUCUUGAGUACAGUAGAGGUGGGCGGAAUUCGUGGUGUAGCGGUCAAAUGCUUAGAUAUCACGAAGAACUCCGAUUGCGAAGGCAGUUCACUGGACUGCAACUGACACUGAGGCUCGAAAGUGUGGGUAUCAAACAGGAUUAGAUACCCUUGUAGUC
rnacentral:rRNA from 1 species